GACGUAGGGGGCGAGCGUUGUCCGGAUUUAUUGGGCGUAAAGCGUGCGUAGGCGGCUGCGCAAGUCGGGUGUGAAACCCCGGGGCUCGAACCCGGAACUGCAUCCGAUACUGCGUGGCUAGAGGUAGGUAGGGGAGAUCGGAAUUCCUGGUGUAGCGGUGAAAUGCGCAGAUAUCAGGAGGAACACCGGUGGCGAAGGCGGAUCUCUGGGCCUUACCUGACGCUCAGGCACGAAAGCUAGGGGAGCGAACAGG
rnacentral:rRNA from 1 species